GUCGAGAAUAAUUCACAAUGGGGGCAACCCUGAUGGUGCAACGCCGCGUGGAGGAUGAAGGUCUUCGGAUUGUAAACUCCUGUCAUCCGGGAGCAAGACCUGGCCGUGAAUAGCGGACAGGGUUGAUAGUACCGGAAGAGGAAGGGACGGCUAACUUCGUGCCAGCAGCCGCGGUAAUACGAAGGUCCCGAGCGUUGUUCGGAAUCACUGGGCGUAAAGGGAGCGUAGGCGGCGCGGUAAGUCAGAUGUGAAAUCCUAGGGCUCAACCCUGGAACUGCAUCCGAUACUGCUGUGCUUGAGCAAUGGAGAGGUAGCCGGAAUUCUCGGUGUAGCAGUGAAAUGCGUAGAUAUCGAGAGGAACACUCGUGGCGAAAGCGGGCUACUGGACAGGUAUUGACGCUGAGGUGCGAAAGCGUGGGGAGCAAACAGGAUUAGAUACCCUAGUAGUCC
rnacentral:rRNA from 1 species